rnacentral:sRNA from 1 species
UUAAAUAAAAUAUUAAUGCCCGUGCUGUAUAGCACGGGUUAUGAUAUAGUAAUU